AGUUGUCCGUUUAUUUAGCAAAUAAAUAAACAACUUGUACUGCCAUGUAGCGAUUUCGAUAGACGACGCCUUCAAGGGAGGAGGAGUCUACAACAUAUUGAAUUUAUCGAUCGAUUGUUAGGCCGAUUUCGAUCAGCAUUGUAUAGUUAAUGAAUGACAACUUGACGAGAUCUUGACACGCACGUUGGAAGUGUACGCGUGUUUGCACCUCGAUGAGCGUUGCACAAUAACAAAGCUCCGUUGGUGAGCGUAUUGAUUAAUAAAGCUAGGUGAAGUCCUUGAGUGCCUCAAGGACUUUGUUUUGUUUUAGCAGUAUUUUUUCCUUCAACAAUUAAUCUUGCAUCUCCAACCGUGGAAUGAGUUACAUGUGACUCGAGACAAACAAACAGUGCAAUUGCAACAAUAUAAUUAGUCAGCGGUAAACAACACAUUCUAUCUGAGAAUAGUUUAGACUUUUUGAGCGUAUCUUUUGUUUAUCACAUGUUGCAUUUUAAUUACUGUUAUUUUUAAAUUUAUAUCCAUGGUUUUUCUUCGACUAGAUAUAAAUUUGCCAUAUCUUCAUGCCAACCACAAGGAUUCUGCUUUUGCACACACCUUGCUAAUUAUAAUUUUGCACCUUGCCUUGGGAAGGCUAUACCCUUCCCACUUUUUCAUUUUUGGCCAAAUUUAAAAUUUUGCUUAAAAUACAUGAAUUCGAAUCAAAA